rfam:Hordeum vulgare subsp. vulgare, WGS project CAJW01000000 data, contig: morex_contig_553505
GGGGGCGGUUCGCCGCCCCCGACGUCGCGAGAAGUCCAUUGAACCUUAUCAUUUAGAGGAAGGAGAAGUCGUAACAAGGUUUCCGUAGGUGAACCUGCGGAAGGAUCAUUG